CCGGUGUAUUCAUUCAGGUCCCAGCAGGAAACAGAUGGCAUACUCAAAUUAGGUAACUUGAAGAGAGCUUAAUCAAAGGACUAUUUACAAAGAUUUCAGCAGGAUGUUGGGAGGGAAACUAGGAGGGAACAAGGGGUAGCAUGGGACCCAGAGCUAAUCACAGCUCCAGAGACAUUACCACUCUGUGGAUGAAGGGACAGGAAAGGGAGCAGAUACUGUAAAAGGGGUACAUGGAGAGAGCAAGAGAGAGGGAAGGGAAGGAGGCAGAGAGAACAAACUAUGUGAAGACGGUCUCAUGACAAGGACUGUGACCUUCAGUUGAAAGACACAACAACAUAGCCAAGAAAUAUUGUACACUGAUGGUCAGAAUAAUGGUUACACUCUAUUUGGAAUAAAAUAGAAAAGGGAGGAAGAAAGAUUUAAUUCUUACAAAAAUAAAUUUAAGAAUCUCUUAUUUUAGCUGCCAGUAUUUCAGCAUGGAACUGACAGGUGAGGUAUAUUUUACAUCCAGGACUGACGCAAUGGAUUCCAACCCUUGUUGCUGUGUUCACUCCUGGCCCUCAGUCAGUUCUCCACUUAGUAGGCAGUGUCUUUGAAAACUACAAAUCUGGUCUGGGGGUUAAACUGCUUGAAACAUUUCAGUUGCCCUUCGAUAAAGAUUUUCAGCCUAAUUCAUAGGGCAUUCCAUGAUCUAGCAUUUUCUUGCCCCUCUAGUCCUCCUGCCCUUGAAUGGCUUUACCCCAGCCACACUGGCCACCCUCAGAAUGCCAUCAGCUUUCCUCCUAGCAGACAUUCAUGGAUGUGGUUCCUAUGGUCUGUGAGGUGUUUAGGGCUCAGCUGCAGGAAUCAGAAUUCGCUCCAGUUAGCUUAAGCAGAAGGGGACUUAUUAAGGAUAUUGCACAGCUCUGGAAGCAGUGUCAGGCCUGGAAAAGAAGACUAAAGAGAACCUCGAGAGCCGCGGCGGCUUGGCCACCGGAGGAAUUUUUGCCUCUUCUGCCAUCAGGGCGCUGGCAGCCAAACUGGGAAGCUGCCCCUGCAGCUGCUGUCUUCCAGGAUUCGGAAACCACUCAAAUUGGCAAACAGCCACAAUCUAGAAGCUAAAUGACCAGGAAGUCACCACGGUCAAGAGGUGCCUCAGGAAAGGCAGAUCUCCUGUUUAUUCACCAGUAAAAGUCACAGAAGGAGGGAGGCGAAGCCACUUGAUCACUUCCGUCUUCUGAAUCCUGAACGAGUGCCUCUGACUGAUGGAGCGAAUUCACGUCCAGAACCUGUCCUACAUGGAAACCUGGGAAUGUGUUUUUUAGCUUUCCAGUCUACACACGCUGGAAGGAGGUUGGAGGUGAUAUUGAGUGCCAAAAGACCACGUCUGCCGUAGCCGGGAACACUCUGUUCUUCCCCUGGCCGAGUAUUACUCAUCCUUCAGGUCUGGAGUCAGACUUCACCUGCUUAAGAAGGCAUGCCCUGACCCCCAGUCUAUUUAGAUGCCCCAUCUCAUCCCACUCCUUGCUGGAAAUAUCCAUACCACUCUGUGAUUCCCAUUACAAAUUACACAGUCACCAUCCUCCUACUCUGAGAACGUGUCCGUCUCCCUGCUAAGCUUCAUGACGGCAGAGAUUUUAUCUAUCCUGAUUACUCUUUGUAUCCUCAAUAGCUUGCCUAGCGCACGGCACAUUAUAGUCUCUUUAUAUAAAAUAAAUGAGUGUGCUGAAUGAAUAAAUAAAUAAAUGCAUGCAGGAAAGGAUGGGAGUAUUAUAGAACAGCUUGAAGUAAGACAAGUACAGACAUCAAUUGGAGAAAAGUUCCUCUGACAUGGGAGGGAGUGACAGUCUCUGAUUUGUUUUGCAGGAGUGGAUACAAUGUUAAGUUUGAAGUAUGGCAGGCCUGCAUACCUUCUGGAAAUGUCCAUCACAUUUUCUUCAGCAGCCUUUAAUGGAACCAAAUUCUCCUGAGAGAAUGACACUUCCCAUUCACUGACUCCAAUAAGGAGCAUCAUUCCCAGGUACUUGACUUUGAGGAGGCUGGAGAUGAAUGAGAUGCUCAGAAGCCUAAAAGAUGCAGGAAUGGUCUUUGUUCAGAGGUUGCCCACUGCCCAGUUCUCAGAACAGACUGAAUCUCAGAGAAGGAACAUUUCCCUUACAGCUCUUGGAUGGAUGUGUUUUGAAAACAGACUUACUUCUCCGAGGAUUUGACCUGACAACUUGUUCGCCUGUGAGGGUUGGAUCUGUGUGGAAGCCUAGCCCUAAUACUGAAAAGUUUUACUUUUCUGAAGAAAGGGACUGAAAGGCAGCUACAUGUUUGGCACAGUAAUGCUAAGGCUCUGGCACAAAAUCAGUCUGUCAGAAGCUCCUUUCCUCUGGAUAGAUGGACCAGUGACACUGGAUGGACUAAAGUCUUGUCUCAAAUGAAUGUAGAGCCCACUUCAGGAUUUCCAGCCCCUCUGCCUCUGGCUCCAAAGAACUGGCUUUACCAUUGAAGUUGUUAACAGUGAGGUCAGUGACGGGGGAUCAAAGCCCAGGGGAGAAACUGGGGCUGGUCAAGGGGGAGCCACCUGCCACAGAGCUUGGUUUUAACAUCUGUUGUCUAGGGUCACACUUCUCCAAAAGAUACACUACUGUGGUCAAGAUCAAGGUCACAUGGAAAAGAGGACUUUAAAGACAGCAAGUGAGCAUGGGUUGAUCUCAAGAUGAACUGGAACGGAAGAAAUCGAAAUUAGAAACCAAAUGUCCAUAUUUCAGAGAAAAGAACUUUACCAUUGAUCAGUUGCCCUGGGCAGUAAGAAACAGAUCGGGCACAAACUGGCUUAAGCUGGAAGCAAACGAAUUAGUUCACGUAGAAGGUGUCAACAGCAGGGUGGGCUUCAGGGUGGGUGGAUUCAGAGGCUUGAGGGCGUCAUUCUGUUCCUCGGUUCCAUUCUGUCUCUCCUCGCUGUCCUCCAUAGCACCGCCUCAUGCUAAGUCUGGUUCCCUUGUGUUCGAAUGGUGGCUGCCAAUGGCAGUCGGGACACGUGUUUUCUUUCCCACCCAGGGAGGGAGAAGAAGAGGCUAGAUACCCAUGACAGAUUCUUCCCUGGCGUCCCCAGGAGCCUCUCCUCAUGACUCAGGGGCCUCCCAGAGAGGAGAUGGUGGUCUCAGGCUUGCGAAGACCCAUCUGCUGGCGCGGAGUGGAUAUAGCCUCUAGGAUCACACGAAGAGGUUUCAGCUGUGCUGGGGCUUCCCCACUUUCAUGUUCUUUGAGUGUCAACUAAUGGGGCUGUUCUGUUUGUCUAUUGCUAUACAACAAAUGACCCCAAACUUAGUGGCUUGAAGAUACAGUCAUUUUAUUAUAUCUCCCAAUUUACGGGUCGUGAAUUCAGGCAGGACCCAGCUGAGAGAUGCUUCAGCAUCACAUGGCUUGGGCUGGGGUCACUCAGCGGUAUUUGGCUGGCAGCCAGGCUGGUCCGAGGGUCCUAGGAUGUCAUCACUCACAUGAUUGGCACCCUGGCGAUACUGGGGGCUGGGCUCAGGUGGGCGCCUCUCCCUCGUUGUGUGGGCCCUCUCCAUGUGGUCUCUCCAGCAGAGGAGCUGGACUUCUCACGUGGUGGCUCAGUUUGCUACACAGCUGCAAGUGACAGAGAAAUUGUGAAAUACAAGAUGAUUCCCAAUGAUUUGACAUGUCAUCUCCACUGUCCAUAAUAAACAAAAAGAAACGGGCAUUCAAUUUUAAUAAUAGAUGCUUUGUUUUUCUCCAUGCCCCCUAAAUAGAUGUGUCCAUUUUAAAA
rnacentral:lncRNA from 1 species